UUAAGUGUGGAGACAUUAUCCUGCAGGGCUCCAAGGCAAGAGCAGCUGCUGAUAUUCCACCCACUAGGAGCUUAGCCACAGCAGGAUGUCCCUGUCCACCAUCUGUGAGAGAUAUGGGGACCUGACUAAGAGAAGGAGACUGGUGUUUCCAAGAGAACAGUUGGGGCUCCUGGUGGAGAACGAAGAACACUUGCAUCCACGUUCAAGAAAGGCGUGAAUGAAAAUAAGAAUUUAAAAAGGAAGAACAUGACUGCUCCUCGGUAUGGAGGAGAAAGUUCAUUGUCGACAAAAGAGAGAGCAGAGCCAGAGGCAGGGACAUCUGGGACAGUCCAGAGUGGACAUGACCCUGAGCCAGGUAAAGAGAUGGGGAGGGGACAAGGGAGAGCCAGACCAAGAGGCCAGGGCGGUAAAGAGAGAGAGCCAAAAGGGCUGGCAUAGCAAAAUGGCUGGAUUAUAAAGGGAAGGGGGGGGGCAGCCCAGCCCUGGGCUGGAGAAGUUUAGGGUAGGGGUGGGGUAUGGCAGCCAGAAGAGCCCUGUAACAGGUAGAGACUAGGGGAUGCAGGGCGAAGCUGGGGGACAGCAUCCACUUUGAUAUGUCAAAUAGGUACCUCAGCCAUUUGUCCUGGGUGUGAGACCUGACAAGGCUCCCUUUCUCCUGUCAGCCACCAGUAAGCACUCAGUUGUAAGGGGUACACCAAAUACAAUGGGAGACAGUUUUCCCAAAUUAGUUCAUGUGACCCUUAUAAUGCCCCUCACUCCUUAAGUGUUCAGUCAAACUGAUCAGUGGAAAGCUAUGUUCUGCAGAUGCCUCAGUUUACCUCCCUGCCUUCUGAAAACUACUUCUUGUUCCAUGAGGCAUGCCAUUCUAGGCUGGAGAGAUGGACUCUGUAGUAGGACAGACCUCGGCUUGAUGACAAUUGGGCCCAUGCUAGUUGAGCCUGGUUCUCCCUUCUGCAGACUGAAAGUAACAGUGCCUAAUUUCAGCGCUAUUAAAUUGAAGGCCAACAAAAUAAAAAUGCUCGUAAAGUAUUUAGCACAAGGACUCCCUGGGUAACCCUCCUCAUCUUUCUUAUGAAAAAGACCCCGUGUCUUCCUAUGCUACUUCCUGGGUUAAUCUAACACCUGAUGCCAGAGGAUAGCUGAAUUCCCCUAAGGAGCCCAACAACUCCUGUUAGAAUUUUCUGGAUCCUUCCUUCAUACUCCCAGCAUCCCUCAGUCUGCCUGAUCACCUGGUUUCUCCUACAGUAUUGCUUGAAACAAGUUCAAAGUCUCAUCUGAGUCUCCAGGAAAACUCUUUCCAGCUGUGAGCCUGUAAAAUCAAACAGAAGCCACGUGCACCUAUCUCCAAGCUCCAGUGACACAGAGAACAAACAGGAUCCACAAGGCAAACAUCCUCAUCCCAAGGGAAGACAUGAGCAAAUAAGACAGAAUCGAGGCUCUUGGCAAGAUGGAUGCCCACCAGGACAGACAUGAAAUCCUAAAGCUCCGAGUCCAGCAUCCUAUGCACGAUAUGACAUCAGUGGGUCCCCAAGAGCUUCAGUCAACCACAAUCUACAUGGCUUUGUCAAGUCACAGCCCACAUGGCUACUCUUUGGGACUUGCUUUGCGAGAUUCCAGCCUAACUCCCUCCCUGCCCACCUCUCUACAUACUAAUCCAGCCAUGGAACUGAGCCAGGACCAGGAAAAAGGCAGAAGGCAUGCAAUGGGACCUCAGGUCCUCUGGAUGUUCUGCACUCUACGGUCAAGAGUCAAGCAGGGAUAAGGGACACAGGUAUUAUUCCUGCUGGGCCUAGGGAGAUGGCUGAGUAGAUAAGAAUGCUUGCCAUGCAAGAAGAAGACUGGAAUUUGAACUUUCAACACGUACAUAAAAGCCAGGCACUGUCUCCUGGGCCUGUAUCCAACAUUAAGAGGUGGAGAUGGACAGAUCCCAAGAGCUCACCAGCCAGUUUGUCUAGCAAGCCUCAAGCUCAGUGAGAGAUACAGUCUCAAAAAAAUGAAGGCACAGGAUGAUAGAGGAGGAUAGCAGACAUCCUCAUCUGGCCUUCAAGCAUGUAUCAUGUAUGCAUGCAUAUGGUGUGUACACACACACAGACACACAGACACAGACACACACACACACACACACACACACACACACACACACACACACACAGCCUUAAACAUUCUUACACUGGCUCAAACUAAUGCUACUUAGCUGUUGACCCCAAAGAAGCUACCACAUCUGAUACCAGACAGGUGCUUUUAAAUGUGCCCAGUCUAAAAUGUGGUCUCCUGCCUUUCUUCUAUUAAAGAAGUCUUUCACUUGAUCAUAGAGAAGUGGAGCUCACGAGGCCAGAGCAGGCCACACACAUAGCCUCAUUAGGCAGGACAAGGACUUGAUUAAGAGAAGGCAUUUGAUUCAAAAUGAGUCAAUUAGAGGCCUUCCCUGAGAUCCUAGCACAGGCUAGGGUAAAUUUCCUUGAAGUUUCUAAUGUGAAAACAAGGUAAUUUGAGGGUUUCAAAACCCACAUUCUUUGCAAAGAGAGAGAGACUAUUUGUAGCAUGAAGGCAGGCAGAGCCAGGAUGGGAAAAAGCCUAGGCUACCCAAUGAGUUUCCCCACCUCCUGCCAAGGCCUGGCUGUCCUCUGUCAUUUAACCUAAAUUUGAGGUAUAUAUUCCUGUCAUUUUAAAGUCAGAAGUGUUAUGCUGAUAGAGCUGGUAUUCUAAAGAUUUUUGGUGGAAUUUUAUUUGCAAAGUAAAAGCCAUGACCCCAGUCAGACUGGGGUUCAAAUAUUACUCUGAUGCUUCCCAACCACGUAGAUCUUUUAGCUGUUUCUCUCCCUCCCUCAACUUUCACUUUGGGGUCAACAGUGGUAUUUACUCCUGAGUGUGGGUCUCACUUUGCUUUCUAUUGCUGUGAUAAGGAUGAUGACCAAAGUGACUUGGAUAGGAGAGGGCUUAUUUCAUCUUAUAGCUUAUAGUCCAACCUUCAGGGAGGUCAGGGCAGGAACUCAAGGUAGGAACCUGGA